CUAGCCUCUCCCCUAGUAGCUUUCUCCACCUUCUGAAAUAAAACAUUGUCUCCAAUACAUUCCAAGAAAUUGUUAGAUAAUCUGUGCCCUGCUGUGUUAUUUUCCCAACAAAUAUCUGAGUAGUUGAUGUCCCCCAUCACCAUCAACUCCUGUGCUUUGGAUGAUUUUAUUAGUUGUUUAAA